rnacentral:rRNA from 1 species
ACGGCUCAGUAACACGUGGACAACCUACCCUCAGCACGGGGAUAAACCCGGGAAACUGGGUAUAAUACCCGAUAGUUCUGGGAUGCUGGAAUGCUUCCAGGACGAAAGCUCCGGCGACUGAGGAUGGGUCUGCGGCCUAUCAGGUAGUAGUGGGUGUAAUGUACCUACUAGCCUACGACGGGUACGGGUCGUGAGAGCGAGAGCCCGGAGAUGGAUUCUGAGACACGAAUCCAGGCCCUACGGGGUGCAGCAGGCGCGAAAACUUUACAAUGCUGGCAACAGCGAUAAGGGGACCUCAAGUGCCAGGAUACAAUCUUGGCUGUCGUGAUGCCUAAAAAGCAUUGCAUAGCAAGGGCCGGGCAAGACCGGUGCCAGCCGCCGCGGUAACACCGGCGGCUCGAGUGGUAACCGCUAUUAUUGGGUCUAAAGGGUCUGUAGCCGGCCGGAUAAGUCUUCUGGGAAAUCCAGCUGCUCAACAGUUGGGCUUUCAGAAGAUACUGUUCGGCUCGAGGCCGGGAGAGGUGAGAGGUACUUCAGGGGUAGGGGUGAAAUCUUGUAAUCCUUGAAGGACCACCAGUGGCGAAGGCGUCUCACCAGAACGGUCCUGACGGCAAGGGACGAAAGCUAGGGGCACGAACCGGAUUAGAUACCCGGGUAGUCCUAGCCGUAAACGAUACUCGCUAGGUGUCAGCCACGGUGCGACCGUGGUUGGUGCCGUAGGGAAGCCGUGAAGCGAGCCACCUGGGAAGUACGGCCGCAAGGCUGAAACUUAAAGGAAUUGGCGGGGGAGCAC